rnacentral:rRNA from 1 species
UACGGAGGGGGCUGGCGUUGUUCGGAAUUAUUGGGCGUAAAGGGCGCGUAGGCGGCCGAAUAAGUCUGACGUGAAAUCCCCCGGCCCAACCGGGGAACUGCGAUUGAUACUGUUUGGCUCGAGUCCGGGAGAGGGUAGUGGAAUUCCCAGUGUAGCGGUGAAAUGCGUAGAUAUUGGGAGGAACACCGGUGGCGAAGGCGGCUACCUGGACCGGUACUGACGCCGAGGCGCGAAAGCUAGGGUAGCAAACAGG